UACAGAGGGGGCAAGCGUUGUUCGGAAUUACUGGGCGUAAAGGGCGCGUAGGCGGCCUGUUAAGUCGAACGUGAAAUCCCCGGGCUCAACCCGGGAACUGCGUCUGAUACUGGAUGGCUUGGAUUCGGGAGAGGAAUGCGGAAUUCCAGGUGUAGCGGUGAAAUGCGUAGAUAUCUGGAGGAACACCGGUGGCGAAGGCGGCAUUCUGGACCGACAUUGACGCUGAGGAGCGAAAGCCAGGGGAGCAAACGGG
rnacentral:rRNA from 1 species